CACUUGGCGGGAGGCUCUGACACGCGGCCCGAACACCGGCCGCCGGGACCGCGCCGAGCCACUGGCGAGACCGACCCGCGAUACC
rnacentral:ncRNA from 1 species